rnacentral:rRNA from 1 species
UACGAAGGGGGCUAGCGUUGCUCGGAAUCACUGGGCGUAAGCGCACGUAGGCGGAUUGUUAAGUCAGGGGUGAAAUCCUGGAGCUCAACUCCAGAACUGCCUUUGAUACUGGCGAUCUUGAGUCCGGGAGAGGUGAGUGGAACUGCGAGUGUAGAGGUGAAAUUCGUAGAUAUCGGGAGGAACACCGGUGGCGAAGGCGGCGACCUGGGUCGAGACUGACGCUGAGGUGCGAAAGCUGGGGAGGCAAACAGG